rnacentral:rRNA from 1 species
GUGAAGUCAUUGAUGCCAUGCUUCCAGGAAAAGCCUCUAAGCUUCAGAUUGUAAGGAAUCGUACCCCAAACCGACACAGGUGGUCGGGUAGAGAAUACCAAGGCGCUUGAGAGAACUCGGGUGAAGGAACUAGGCAAAAUGGUACCGUAACUUCGGGAGAAGGUACGCUCUCGACGGUGAAGUCCCUCGCGGAUGGAGCUAUUGAGAGUCGCAGAUACCAGGUGGCUGCAACUGUUUAUUAAAAACACAGCACUGUGCAAAAUCGUAAGAUGACGUAUACGGUGUGACGCCUGCCCGGUGCCGGAAGGUUAAUUGAUGGGGUUAGACUUCGGUCGAAGCUCUUGAUCGAAGCCCCGGUAAACGGCGGCCGUAACUAUAACGGUCCUAAGGUAGCGAAAUUCCUUGUCGGGUAAGUUCCGACCUGCACGAAUGGCGUAAUGAUGGCCACGCUGUCUCCACCCGAGACUCAGUGAAAUUGAAAUCGCUGUGAAGAUGCAGUGUACCCGCGGCUAGACGGAAAGACCCCGUGAACCUUUACUACAGCUUGGCACUGAACAUUGACCCUACAUGUGUAGGAUAGGUGGGAGGCUUUGAAGCACGUACGCCAGUAUGUGUGGAGCCGUCCUUGAAAUACCACCCUUGUAGUGUUGAUGUUCUAACGUCGACCCCUUAUCGGGGUUGCGGACAGUGCCUGGUGGGUAGUUUGACUGGGGCGGUCUCCUCCCAAAGAGUAACGGAGGAGCACGAAGGUGGGCUAAUCACGGUUGGACAUCGUGAGGUUAGUGCAAUGGCAUAAGCCCGCUUGACUGCGAGAAUGACAAUUCGAGCAGGUGCGAAAGCAGGUCAUAGUGAUCCGGUGGUUCUGAAUGGAAGGGCCAUCGCUCAACGGAUAAAAGGUACUCCGGGGAUAACAGGCUGAUACCGCCCAAGAGUUCAUAUCGACGGCGGUGUUUGGCACCUCGAUGUCGGCUCAUCACAUCCUGGGGCUGAAGUCGGUCCCAAGGGUAUGGCUGUUCGCCAUUUAAAGUGGUACGCGAGCUGGGUUUAGAACGUCGUGAGACAGUUCGGUCCCUAUCUGCCGUGGGCGUUGGAAGAUUGAAGGGGGCUGCUCCUAGUACGAGAGGACCGGAGUGGACGAACCUCUGGUGUUCGGGUUGUGUCGCCAGACGCAUUGCCCGGUAGCUAAGUUCGGAAUCGAUAACCGCUGAAAGCAUCUAAGCGGGAAGCGAGCCCUGAGAUGAGUCUUCCCUGAUACUUUAAGUAUCCUAAAGGGUUGUCGGAGACUACGACGUUGAUAGGUCAGGUGUGUAAGUGCUGUGAGGCAUUGAGCUAACUGAUACUAAUUGCCCGUGAGGCUUAACCAUACAACACC